rnacentral:lncRNA from 1 species
CAUAAAUUGAAUAACGAUUUCGUAAAGUAGAGUGGGAAUUUGAGAAGACCUUGGCAAUAUCUCUCUUCAACUAAAAAUUCUUUUGAUUGUUUUCUCAUCAGUGAGAUAUUAUCAUGAUAUCUUUUCUAUAAAAGUUUUGAUAAAUGAGAUCUUCAAUUUCUCAAAUUCUAAGAUGAUAAUGAUAUUGAUUAUUGGUGUGAGUUAGUAUUGAAUCGGUGUAUGAUAAAGGCGUGUUUAUGAAGAGACAGUGGAAUUCCUUGAUAUUCUUUCAUCAUCCUUGAUAUUCCUUGAUGUUCUUUGAUAUUCUCGAGAUUCUUUGACAUUCGUUGAUAUUCCUUGACCAAUGGUGAAAAUGCAGAGUUCAGAGUAUUCUGACUAUACUGCAUAGUUAAAAAUGGUCUAUGGUAUUGAUUUGAGAAUGAUAAAGAUGCAUGGUUCAUAGUAUGUUGACCAUGUCAGAUAUUUGGAAAAGGUAUAUUGUUUUAGUGAGAUGUGAAGAGUUACUGUAAGAUAUGAGUUGUACUGAAUUAGAAGGAGAGAUUUGUAGAUAGAGGUUGAUAGAUGAGAAGUGCAUGAUAGAGAGUAUGUGGAAUUGAGUCCAGUUAUUAGAGAUGAUGUCUACGAGUAAGUUAGAACGUUAGUCCUCGACGACAACGCUUCGAGCUAAUCGGGAUUUCAAAUGGCAUCAAGGUGGGCCCAUAACCCACAGGUUGAUGAUCCAGACAAUCGAAGAUACGUUACGUGUUUGUGCUAUGGAUUUCAAAGGCAACUGGGAUAAAGAAGAAGAAUGUAAACUACUUGGGCCAGAGUUAUUACGGACGAUAACGUCUACGAUGACAUCUUACGAGACUAUUACGAGUCAAAUCGAUUGAUUGUCGAGAACGUUGAAAGGAUAACAUAAAUUGAAUAACGAUUUCGUAAAGUAGAGUGGGAAUUUGAGAAGACCUUGGCAAUAUCUCUCUUCAACUAAAAAUUCUUUUGAUUGUUUUCUCAUCAGUGAGAUAUUAUCAUGAUAUCUUUUCUAUAAAAGUUUUGAUAAAUGAGAUCUUCAAUUUCUCAAAUUCUAAGAUGAUAAUGAUAUUGAUUAUUGGUGUGAGUUAGUAUUGAAUCGGUGUAUGAUAAAGGCGUGUUAUGAAGAGACAGUGGAAUUCCUUGAUAUUAUUGAUAUUCUGUGAUAUCCCUUGAUAUUCUUCCAUAUUCUUUGAUAUCCCUUAAUAUUCGUUGAUAUUCGUUGACAUUCUUUGACACUCUUUGAUAUUCCUUGAUAUCUUUUCGAUAUUCCUUAAUAUAUUCCUCGAUAAUCCUUAACAUUCCUUGAUGCUCCUUGAGAUUUCUUGGAUUCUUUCCAUCUGAUUGGGAUGAACAACCCUAUGUAUAGGGGACACAAGGUAUACCUGUCUGUGUGAUAGGAGUUGGAUGGGACGCCAUCACUUGUGUGUGUUGUGAUUACAAGAAGGUUAAAAACCUUUAGUAGUGUCUAAUAUGGACACGCAACAUGAAGUUCAUUUGAUCGUAUUGAUCUCCCAGUCACUCUUGUAUUCCAAUGUGACCUAUUUUGAAAAUAUCUUGUUCCUCCGAAAUUCCCAAAGAUUGAUUCUUGGGAAAUGAAGUUUGCAAUUGUGAAGGUUUUGAUUCUCCUAUUUCUUUAACUUUGAAGGGUAUGCCAAAGUUGAGCAAAGGCGGACGAGCAUGUGAUAUUAUGAAGCGUGUACAAUGAUCUUAUAAAUGAUACGUUUUAGUUCUCAUCGCGGAUUCUGAGGACAGAAUCCUUAUAAGGGGGUGGAAUGUAAUAUCCCAUAUUAUUAAAUUUAGAUUUGAUUAUUAUAAAUCUAUUUGUCUAGAUAUUAUUGUUGUCUGUAGUUGAAUAUUGAUGUGAUUAUGUGAAAUAGUUGUAUGUGAUUAUACUUGUUUCAUGGAUUAAUAUGGAUUUUACAGAUUUUUCGUCCUCCUUCUUUCUUUGAUUCCGAGGACGGAAUCCCUAUAAGGAGGGUAGAUUGUAAUGACCCGGAUUUUUAAAAAUUUUUAUUAGUAUUAAAAGUGAUUUUCUUUAAAGAAGGGUCGAUAAUCCCUAAUAUUCUUGAUGCUCCUUGAGAUUUCUUGGAUUCUUUCCAUCUGAUUGGGAUGAACAACCCUAUGUAUAGGGGACACAAGGUAUACCUGUCUGUGUGAUAGGAGUUGGAUGGGACGCCAUCACUUGUGUGUGUUGUGAUUACAAGAAGGUUAACAACCUUUAGUAGUGUCUAAUAUGGACACGCAACAUUAAGUUCAUUUGAUCGUAUUGAUCUCCCAGUCAUUCUUGUAUUCCAAUGUCACCUAUUUUGAAAACAUCUUGUUCUAUUCGAAAAUUCCCAAAGAUCGAUUCUUGGGAAAUGAAUUUUGCAAUCGCGAAAGUGUGAUUUUCCUUUUCCAUUAAAGUCAAAGGUAUGCCAAGAUCAAUCGAAGGUGGAUGACGAUAUGAUAUUACGAAGUGUGUACGUUUUAGUUUCUUCGGAGGAUUCCGAGGACGGAAUCCUUAUAAGGGGGGUAGAAUGUAAUAUCCCAUAUUAUUAAAUUUAGAUUUGAUUAUUAUAAAUCUAUUUGUCUAAAUAUUAUUGUUGGCUUUAGUUGAAAAGUGAAUUGAUUAUGUGAAUAGUUUUAUGUGAUUAUACUUGUUAUGUGGAUUAAUAUGGAUUUUACAGAUUAUGCGUCCUCCUUCUUUCUCUGAUUCCGAGGACGGAAUCCCUAUAAGGAGGGUAGAUUGUAAUAACCCGGAUUUUAAAAAUAUUUUUAUUAAUAUUAUAAAUGAUUUUCUUAAAAAGAAAGGAAUAAGAUUUAAUAUUUUAUUCCAGUUUAAUGAGUUUUCAAG